rnacentral:rRNA from 1 species
CCUACGGGAGGCAGCAGUGAGGAAUAUUGGUCAAUGGACGAGAGUCUGAACCAGCCAAGUAGCGUGAAGGAUGACUGCCCUAUGGGUUGUAAACUUCUUUUAUAUGGGAAUAAAACGUUCCACGUGUGGGAUUUUGUAUGUACCAUAUGAAUAAGGAUCGGCUAACUCCGUGCCAGCAGCCGCGGUAAUACGGGGGAUCCGAGCGUUAUCCGGAUUUAUUGGGUUUAAAGGGAGCGUAGGUGGAUUGUUAAGUCAGUUGUGAAAGUUUGCGGCUCAACCGUAAAAUUGCAGUUGAAACUGGCAGUCUUGAGUACAGUAGAGGUGGGCGGAAUUCGUGGUGUAGCGGUGAAAUGCUUAGAUAUCACGAAGAACUCCGAUUGCGAAGGCAGUUCACUGGACUGCAACUGACACUGAGGCUCGAAAGUGUGGGUAUCAAACAGGAUUAGAUACCCCGGUAGUC